GGAUUUGCGAAGAGAAAAUGCGUGAUUUUUGCUUAAAUGGGGGAUUUGCGAAGAGAAAACGCGUGAUUUUCGGGUUAAAUGGGGGAUUCUCGAAGAGAAAACGUGUGAUUUUCAGGUUAAAUGGGGGAUUCUCGAAGAGAAAACGCGUGAUUUUUGGGUUAAAUGGGGGAUUUGCAAAGAGAAAACGCGUGAUUUUCGCUUAAAUGGGGGAUUUGCGAAGAGAAAACGCGUGAUUUUCGCUUAAAUGGGGGAUUCUCAAAGAGAAAACGCGUGAUUUUCGGGUUAAAUCUAGGAUUUGCAACGAGAAAACGCGUGAUUUUUGCUUAAAUGGGGGAUUUGCAAAGAGAAAACGCGUGAUUUUUGGUUAAAUGGGGGAUUCUCGAAGAGAAAACGCGUGAUUUUUGCAUAAAUGGGGGAUUUGCGAAGAGAAAACGCGUGGUUUUCGGUUAAAUGGGGGAUUUACGAAGAGAAAACGCGUGAUUUUCGCUUAAAUGGGGGAUUCUCGAAGAGAAAACACGUGAUUUUUGCUUAAAUGGGGAAUUUGCAAAGAGAAAACGCGUGAUUUUCGGUUAAAUGGGGGAUUCUCGAAGAGAAAAUGCGUGAUUUUUGGCUUAAAUGGGGGAUUUGCGAACAGAAAACGCGUGGUUUUCGGGUUAAAUGGGGGAUUUGUGAAGAGAAAACGCGUGAUUUUCGGGUUAAAUGGGGAUUUGCGAAGAGAAAACGCGUGAUUUUCGGGUUAAAUGGGGGAUUUGCGAAGAGAAAACGCGUGAUUUUCGGGUUAAAUGGGGGAUUUGCGAAGAGAAAACGCGUGAUUUUCGCUUAAAUGGGGGAUUUGCGAAGAGAAAACGCGUGAUUUUCGGGUUAAAUGGGGGAUUUGCGAAGAGAAAAUGCGUGAUUUUUGGGUUAAAUGGGGGAUUUGCAAAGAGAAAACACGUGAUUUUCGGGUUAAAUGGGGGAUUCUCAAAGAGAAAACGCGUGAUUUUCGGUUAAAUGGGGGAUUUGCGAAGAGAAAACGCGUGAUUUUCGCUUAAAUGGGGGAUUUGCGAAGAGAAAACGCGUGAUUUUUGGGUUAAAUGGGGGAUUUGCAAAGAGAAAACGCGUGAUUUUUGGGUUAAAUGGGGGAUUUGCGAAGAGAAAACGCGUGAUUUUCGCUUAAAUGGGGGAUUCUCAAAGAGAAAACGCGUGAUUUUCGGGUUCAAUGCGGGAUUCUCGAAGAGAAAACGCGUGAUUUUCGCUUAAAUGGGGGAUUUGCGAAGAGAAUACGCGUGAUUUUCGGGUUAAAUGGGGGAUUCUCGAAGAGAAAACGCGUGAUUUUCGCUUAAAUCGGGGAUUUGCGAAGAGAAAACACGUGAUUUUCGGUUAAAUGGGGGAUUUGCGAAGAGAAAACGCGUGAUUUUCGCUUAAAUGGGGGAUUUGCGAAGAGAAAACGUGUGAUUUUCGCUUAAAUGGGGGAUUCUCGAGGAGAAAAUGCGUGAUUUUUGGUUAAAAUGGGGAUUUGCGAAGAGAAAACGCGUGAUUUUCGGGUUAAAUGGGGGAUUUGCGAAGAGAAAACGCGUGAUUUUUGCAUAAAUGGGGGAUUUGCGAAGAGAAAACACGUGAUUUUCGGGUUAAAUGGGGGAUUUGCGAAGAGAAAACGCGUGGAUUUUUGCUUAAAUGGGGGAUUUGCAACGAGAAAACGCGUGAUUUUCGCUUAAAUGGGGGAUUCUCCGAAGAGAAAACGCGUGAUUUUCGCUUAAAUGGGGGAUUUGCAAAGAGAAAACGUGUGAUUUUCGCUUAAAUGGGGAAUUUGCGAAGAGAAAACGCGUGAUUUUCGCUUAAAUGGGGGAUUUGCGAAGAGAAAACGCGUGAUUUUCGGGUUAAAAUGGGGGAUUUUCAAAGAGAAAACGCGUGAUUUUCGGGUUAAAUGGGGGAUUUGCGAAGAGAAAACGCGUGAUUUUUGCUUAAAUGGGGGAUUUGCGAAGAGAAAACGCGUGAUUUUCGCUUAAAUGGGGGAUUCUCAAAGAGAAAACGCGUGAUUUUCGGGUUAAAUGGGGGAUUUGCGAAGAGAAAACACGUGAUUUUUGCUUAAAUGGGGGAUUUGCGAAGAGAAAACGCGUGAUUUUCGGGUUAAAUGGGGGAUUUGCGAAGAGAAAACGCGUGAUUUUUGCUUAAAUGGGGGAUUUGCGAAGAGAAAACGCGUGAUUUUUGGGUUAAAUGGGGGAUUUGCGAAGAGAAAACGCGUGAUUUUCGGGUUAAAUGGGGGAUUUGCAAAGAGAAAACGCGUGAUUUUCGGUUAAAUGGGGGAUUUGCGAAGAGAAAACGCGUGAUUUUCGCUUAAAUGGGGGAUUUGCGAAGAGAAAACGCGUGAUUUUCGGCUUAAAUGGGGGAUUCUCGAAGAGAAAACGCGUGAUUUUCGGCUUAAAUGGGGGAUUCUCGAAGAGAAAACGCGUGAUUUUCGGUUAAAUGGGGGAUUCUCGAAGAGAAAACGCGUGAUUUUCGCUUAAAUGGGGGAUUUGCGAAGAGAAAACGCGUGAUUUUCGCUUAAAUGGGGGAUUCUCGAAGAGAAAACGCGUGAUUUUUGCUUAAAUGGGGGAUUUGCGAAGAGAAAACGCGUGAUUUUCGGCUUAAAUGGGGGAUUCUCGAAGAGAAAACGCGUGAUUUUCGCUUAAAUGGGGGAUUUGCGAAGAGAAAACGCGUGAUUUUCGCUUAAAUGGGGGAUUUGCGAAGAGAAAACGCGUGAUUUUCGGCUUAAAUGGGGGAUUCUCGAAGAGAAAACACGUGAUUUUUGGUUAAAUGGGGGAUUUGCAAAGAGAAAACGCUUGAUUUUUGCUCAAAUGGGGGAUUUGCGAAGAGAAAACGCGUGAUUUUCGGGAUAAAUGGGGGAUUUGCAAAGAGAAAACGCGUGAUUUUCCGGUUAAAUGGGGGAUUUGCGAAGAGAAAACGCGUGAUUUUUGGGUUAAAAUGGGGGAUUCUCGAAGAGAAAACGCGUGAUUUUUGGUUAAAUGGGGGAUUCUCGAAGAGAAAACGCGUGAUUUUUGCUUAAAUGGGGGAUUUGCGAAGAGAAAACGCGUGAUUUUCGGGUUAAAUGGGGGAUUUUCAAAGAGAAAACGCGUGAUUUUCGUUUAAAUGGGGGAUUUGCGAAGAGAAAGCGCGUGAUUUUCGGGUUAAAUGGGGGAUUUGCGAAGAGAAAACGCAUUAUUUUCGGGUUAAAUGGGGGAUUUGCGAAGAGAAAACGCGAGAUUUUCGCUUAAAUGGGGGAUGUGCGAAGAGAAAACGCGAGAUUUUCGCUUAAAUGGGGAUGUGCGAAGAGAAAACGUGUGAUUUUCGCUUAAAUGGGGGAUUCUCGUGGAGAAAAUGCAUGAUUUUCGCUUAAAUGGGGGAUUUGCGAUGAGAAAACGCGUGGUUUUCGCUUAAAUGCGGGAUUCGCGAAGAGAAAACGCGUGAUUUUUGCUUAAAUGGGGGAUUUGCGAAGAGAAAACGCGUGGUUUUCGGGUUAAAUGGGGGAUUUCUGAAGAGAAAACGCGUGAUUUUCGGGUUAAAUGGGGGAUUCUCGAAGAGAAAACACGUGAUUUUUAGUUAAAUGGGGUAUUAGCGAAGAGAAAAACUGCGUGAUUUUCGCUUAAAUGGGGGAUUUGCGAAGAGAAAAUACGUGAUUUUCGGUUAAAUGGGGAAUUUGUGAAGAGAAACGCGUGAUUUUCGCUUAAAUGGGGGAUUUGCGAAGAGAAAACGUGUGAUUUUCGCUUAAAUGGGGAUUCUCGAGGAGAAAAUGCGUGAUUUUUGGUUAAAAUGGGGAUUUGCGAAGAGAAAACGCGUUAUUUUCGGGUUAAAUGGGGGAUUCUCGAAGAGAAAACGCGUGAUUUUUGCUUAAAUGGGGGAUUUGCGAAGAGAAAACGCGUGAUUUUCGGGUUAAAUGGGGGAUUUGCGAAGAGAAAACGCGUGAUUUUCGGGUUAAAUGGGGGAUUUGCGAAGAGAAAACGCGUGGUUUUUGCUUAAAUGGGGGAUUUGCGAAGAGAAAACGCGUGAUUUUCGGGUUAAAUCGGGGAUUUGCGAAGAGAAAACGCGUGAUUUUCGGGUUAAAUGGGGGAUUUGCGAAGAGAAAACGCGUGAUUUUCGGUUAAAUGGGGGAUUUGCGAAGAGAAAACGCGUGAUUUUCGGUUAAAUGGGGGAUUUGCGAAGAGAAAACGCGUGGUUUUCCGGUUAAAUGGGGGAUUUGCGAAGAGAAAACGCGUGGUUUUCGGGUUAAAUGGGGGAUUUGCGAAGAGAAAACGCGUGAUUUUCGGGUUAAAUGGGGAUUUGCGAAGAGAAAACGCGUGAUUUUCGGGUUAAAUGGGGGAUUUGCGAAGAGAAAACGCGUGAUUUUCGGGUUAAAUGGGGGAUUUGCAAAGAGAAAACGCGUGAUUUUCCGGUUAAAUGGGGGAUUUGCGAAGAGAAAACGCGUGAUUUUCGCUUAAAUGGGGGAUUUGCGAAGAGAAAACGCGUGAUUUUCGGGUUAAAUGGGGGAUUUGCGAAGAGAAAAUGCGUGAUUUUUGGGUUAAAUGGGGGAUUUGCAAAGAGAAAACGCGUGAUUUUCGGGUUAAAUGGGGGAUUCUCAAAGAGAAAACGCGUGAUUUUCGCUUAAAUGGGGGAUUUGCGAAGAGAAAACGCGUGAUUUUCGCUUAAAUGGGGGAUUCUCGAAGAGAAAACGCGUGAUUUUUGGGUUAAAUGGGGGAUUUGCAAAGAGAAAACGCGUGAUUUUCGGGUUAAAUGGGGGAUUUGCGAAGAGAAAACGCGUGAUUUUCGCUUAAAUGGGGGAUUCUCAAAGAGGAAAACGCGUGAUUUUCGGCUUAAAUGGGGGAUUCUCGAAGAGAAAACGCGUGAUUUUCGCUUAAAUGGGGGAUUUGCGAAGAGAAAACGCGUGAUUUUCGGCUUAAAUGGGGGAUUCUCGAAGAGAAAACGCGUGAUUUUCGCUUAAAUCGGGGAUUUGCGAAGAGAAAACAGCGUGAUUUUCGGGUUAAAUGGGGGAUUUGCGAAGAGAAAACGCGUGAUUUUCGCUUAAAUGGGGGAUUUGCGAAGAGAAAACGCGUGAUUUUUGCUUAAAUGGGGGAUUGCGAAGAGAAAACGCGUGAUUUUCGCUUAAAUGGGGGAUUCUCGAAGAGAAAACGCGUGAUUUUCGCUUAAAUGGGGGAUUUGCGAAGAGAAAACGCGUGAUUUUCGGCUUAAAUGGGGGAUUCUCGAAGAGAAAACGCGUGAUUUUCGCUUAAAUGGGGGAUUUGCGAAGAGAAAACGCGUGAUUUUCGGCUUAAAUGGGGGAUUCUCGAAGAGAAAACGCGUGAUUUUCGCUUAAAUGGGGGAUUUGCGAAGAGAAAACGCGUGAUUUUCGCUUAAAUGGGGGAUUCUCGAAGAGAAAACGCGUGAUUUUCGCUUAAAUGGGGGAUUUGCGAAGAGAAAACGCGUGAUUUUCGCUUAAAUGGGGGAUUUGCGAAGAGAAAACGCGUGAUUUUCGCUUAAAUGGGGGAUUCUCGAAGAGAAAACGCGUGAUUUUCGGGUUAAAAUGGGGGAUUCUCGAAGAGAAAACGCGUGAUUUUCGCUUAAAUGGGGGAUUUGCGAAGAGAAAAACGCGUGAUUUUCGGUUAAAUGGGGGAUUUGCGAAGAGAAAACGCGUGAUUUUCGCUUAAAUGGGGGAUUUGCAAAGAGAAAACGCGUGAUUUUCGCUUAAAUGGGGGAUUUGCAAAGAGAAAACGCGUGAUUUUCGGUUAAAUGGGGGAUUUGCGAAGAGAAAACGCGUGAUUUUUGCUUAAAUGGGAGAUUUGCGAAGAGAAAACGCGUGAUUUUCGGUUAAAUCGGGGGAUUUGCUGAAGAGAAAACACGUGAUUUUCGGGUUAAAUGGGGGAUUUGCAAAGAGAAAACGCGUGAUUUUCGCUUAAAUGGGGGAUUUGCGAAGAGAAAACGCGUGAUUUUUGGUUAAAUGGGGGAUUUGCGAAGAGAAAAUGCGUGAUUUUAAGUUAAAGUGGGGAUUCUAAAGAGGAAACGCGUGAUUUUCGGGUUAAAUGGGGGAUUUGCGAAGAGAAAACGCGUGAUUUUCGCUUAAAUGGGGGAUUUGCGAAGAGAAAAUACCUGAUUUUCGGGUUAAAUGGGGGAUUCUCAAAGAGAAAACGCGUGAUUUUCGGGUUAAAUGGGGGAUUUGCGAAGAGAAAACGCGUGAUUUUUGGUUAAAUGGGGGAUUUGCGAAGAGAAAACACGUGAUUUUUGCUUAAAUGGGGGAUUUGCGAAGAGAAAACGCGUGAUUUUCACUUAAAUGGGGGAUUUGCGAAGAGAAAACGCGUGAUUUUCGGGUUAAAUGGGGGAUUUGCGAAGAGAAAACUAUGUGAUUUUUGGUUAAAUGGGGGAUUUGCGAAGAGAAAACGCGUGAUUUUCGGCUUAAAUGGGGGAUUUGUGAAGAGAAAACGCGUGAUUUUCGGGUUAAAUGGGGGAUUUGCGAAGAGAAAACGCGUGAUUUUUGCUUAAAUGGGGGAUUUGCGAAGAGAAAACGCGUGAUUUUCGGGUUAACUGGGGGAUUUGCGAAGAGAAAACGCGUGAUUUUCGCUUAAAUGGGGGAUUUGCGAAGAGAAAACGCGGGAUUUUCGCUUAAAUGGGGGAUUUGCGAAGAGAAAAAUGCGUGAUUUUCACUUAAAUGGGGGAUUUGCGAAGAGAAAACGCGUGAUUUUCAGUUAAAUGGGGGAUGUGCGAAGAGAAAACGCGUGAUUUUCAGUUAAAUGGGGGAUGUGCGAAGAGAAAAUGCGUGAUUUUCCCUUAAAUGGGGGAUUCUCGAAGAGAAAACGCGUGAUUUUCGCUUAAAUGGAAGGAUUAUGCGAAGAGAAAACGCGUGAUUUUCGCUUAAAUGGGGGAUUUGCGAAGAGAAAACGUGUGAUUUUCGGGUUAAAUGGGGGAUUUGCGAAGAGAAAACGCGUGAUUUUCGCUUAAAUGGGGGAUUUGCGAAGAGAAAACGCGUGAUUUUUGCUUAAAUGGGGGAUUUGCGAAGAGAAAACGCGUGAUUUUUGGGUUAAAUGGGGGAUUUGCGAAGAGAAAACGCGUGAUUUUCGGGUUAAAUGGGGGAUUCUCGAAGAGAAAACGCAUGAUUUUUGCUUAAAUGGGGGAUUUGUGAAGAGAAAAUGCGUGACUUUUAAGUUAAAUGGGGGAUUCUCGAAGGAGAAAACGCGUGAUUUUUGCUUAAAUGGGGGAUUUGCGAAGAGAAAACGCGUGAUUUUCGCUUAAAUGGGGGAUUUGUGAAGAGAAAACGCGUGAUUUUCGGGUUAAAUGGGGGAUUUGCGAAGAGAAAACGCGUGAUUUUUGCUUAAAUGGGGGAUUUGCGAAGAGAAAACGCGUGAUUUUCGGGUUAACUGGGGGAUUUGCGAAGAGAAAACGCGUGAUUUUCGCUUAAAUGGGGGAUUUGCGAAGAGAAAACGCGGGAUUUUCGCUUAAAUGGGGGAUUCUGCGAAGAGAAAACGCGUGAUUUUCGCUUAAAUGGGGGAUUUGCGAAGAGAAAACGCGUGAUUUUCGCUUAAAUGGGGGAUUCUGCGAAGAGAAAACGCGUGAUUUUCGCUUAAAUGGGGAUUUGCGAAGAGAAAACGCGUGAUUUUCGCUUAAAUGGGGGAUUCUCGAAGAG
ensembl:lncRNA